AUCACCGCACCGGGAGAAUCCGGCCCAGUGCCGGUGCCGAAGGAGCAACCGCCCCGGUAAACUCUCAGGCAUCAGGACCGUUGCGGGCAC
rnacentral:ncRNA from 2 species